rnacentral:rRNA from 1 species
GCGGACGGGUGAGUAAUGCGUAGGAAUUUACCCUAUAGUGGGGGAUAACCUAGGGAAACUUACGCUAAUACCGCAUGAACCCUAUGGGGGAAAGCAGGGGAUCCAUCUGGACCUUGCGCUAUGGGAUGAGCCUACGUCGGAUUAUCUAGUUGGUAGGGUAAGGGCCUACCGAGGCAACGAUCCGUAGCUGGUCUGAGAGGAUGGUCAGCCACACUGGGACUGAGAUACGGCCCAGACUCCUACGGGAGGCAGCAGUGGGGAAUAUUGGACAAUGGGGGAAACCCUGAUCCAGCAAUGCCGCGUGUGUGAAGAAGGCCUGCGGGUUGUAAAGCACUUUCAGCUGUGAAGAAAAGCUUGGGGCUAAUACCUCCAAGCCUUGACGUUAGCUGCUGAAGAAGCCCCGGCCAACUCCGUGCCAGCAGCCGCGGUAAGACGGAGGGGGCUAGUGUUAAUCGGAAUUACUGGGCGUAAAGGGCGCGUAGGUGGUUCGGUAAGUCGAAUGUGAAAGCCCUGGGCUCAACCCAGGAAUUGCAUUCGAUAC